rnacentral:tRNA from 1 species
GAGCUGAAGCUCAGUGGUAGAGCACUUGUCUAGCAUGCAUGAGGCACUGGGUUCAAUCCCCAGCACCACA